rnacentral:tRNA from 1 species
GGCGCGGUGGCGGAGUGGUUACGCAGAGGACUGCAAAUCCUUGUACACGGGUUCGAAUCCCGUCCGCGCCU